GAUGAACGCUAGCGGGAGGCCUAACACAUGCAAGCCGAGCGGUAUUGUUUCUUCGGAAGUGAGAGAGCGGCGUACGGGUGCGGAACACGUGUGCAGCCUGCCUUUAUCUGGGGGAUAGCCUUUCGAAAGGAAGAUUAAUACUCCAUAACAUAUUGAACGGCAUCGUUUGGUAUUGAAAGCUCCGGCGGAUAGAGAUGGGCACGCGCAAGAUUAGCUAGUUGGUGAGGUAACGGCUCACCAAGGCGAUGAUCUUUAGGGGGCCUGAGAGGGUGAUCCCCCACACUGGUACUGAGAUACGGACCAGACUCCUACGGGAGGCAGCAGUGAGGAAUAUUGGUCAAUGGGUGCAAGCCUGGACCAGCCAUCCCGCGUGAAGGACGACUGCCCUAUGGGUUGUAAACUUCUUUUGUAUAGGGAUAAACCUACCCUCGUGAGGGUAGCUGAAGGUACUAUACGAAUAAGCACCGGCUAACUCCGUGCCAGCAGCCGCGGUAACAC
rnacentral:rRNA from 1 species